rnacentral:rRNA from 1 species
CGGUUGAUCCUGCCGGAGGUUACUGCUAUCGGAGUUCGAUUAAGCCAUGCGAGUCUAAAGGUUUCUUCGGAAACCUUGGCGGACUGCUCAGUAACACGUGGAUAACCUACCCUUGGGACUGGAAUAACCCCGGGAAACUGGGGAUAAUACCGGAUAGAUCAGGGAUGCUGGAAUGCGCCUUGAUCCAAAGCUCCGGCGCCCAAGGAUGGGUCUGCGGCCUAUCAGGUUGUAGUGGGUGUAACGUACCUACUAGCCGACGACGGGUACGGGUUGUGAGAGCAAGAGCCCGGAGAUGGAUUCUGAGACACGAAUCCAGGCCCUACGGGGUGCAGCAGGCGCGAAACCUUUACAAUGUGCGAAAGCAUGAUAAGGGAACUCCGAGUGCCAGUAUCUAAUACUGGCUGUCCUUGUGCCUAAAACGCACAAGAUAGCAAGGGCCGGGUAAGACCGGUGCCAGCCGCCGCGGUAACACCGGCGGCCCGAGUGGUAGCCGCUAUUAUUGGGUCUAAAGGGUCCGUAGCCGGUUCGAUAAGUCCUCUGGGAAAUCUGGUUGCUUAACAAUCAGACUGCCAAGGGAUACUGUCGAACUUGAGACCGGGAGAGGUAAGAGGUACUUCAGGGGUAGGAGUGAAAUCUUGUAAUCCCUGGGGGACCAUCUGUGGCGAAGGCGUCUUACCAGAACGGGUCUGACGGUGAGGGACGAAAGCUGGGGGCGCAAACCGGAUUAGAUACCCGGGUAGUCCCAGCCGUAAACGAUGCUCGCUAUGUGUC